GCAGUCGCCGCGGGAAUACAGAGGGUGCGAGCGUUAAUCGGAUUUACUGGGCGUAAAGCGUGCGUAGGCGGCUUUUUAAGUCGGAUGUGAAAUCCCUGAGCUUAACUUAGGAAUUGCAUUCGAUACUGGGAAGCUAGAGUAUGGGAGAGGAUGGUAGAAUUCCAGGUGUAGCGGUGAAAUGCGUAGAGAUCUGGAGGAAUACCGAUGGCGAAGGCAGCCAUCUGGCCUAAUACUGACGCUGAGGUACGAAAGCAUGGGGAGCAAACAGGAUUAGAUACCCGGGUAGUCCCUGUCUCUUAUAA
rnacentral:rRNA from 1 species